AAACAUCCAUUAUGCAGAUUACAAUUAACUUUUUCUCCAUCUAACCUAGUGGAUGUUGGCGGAAAUUAUAAGCAGUCCAUUUGUUAAUAUAUUCUUACCAAGAGUAAUAAAAACAACAAAUCAUAGAAAAAAAUUUAAUCAACAAUUGCAAUCCACCAACAAGGGGCCAAACCUUAUUCCAAGCUAGCAUUGCUCAAAACACAGCACAGAAAAAAUGCUGUUUUCCAAAGCAACCAUACGAGGAACAUUAGAUACAGUCCCCCAGUUGGAAAUUUAAAAUAAUAAACUGGAAGAAUGGGAAACUAAAUAACAUGUUUUUUCGAAUCUCCAUCUCAAAUAAAACCUGUUUUUCCAACCAAAUUAUCAAACUCAACAUUAUGAAAUCGAUAUCACCAGGAUCUUGCCAGUGAUUCUGCUGGGUUCAAUAUUUAUGUUCUUAAAAGAUCACUUGCAAAUAAAACUACUAUAAUCAUCAGGACUGUUAUUGCAGUAAGCCCAUCAUCUGUAAACAAGGAGAUGCAAUAAGGUUUUAAGGAACAUCAUGCAGAAUACAAAAGGCAAAUCAUUCUUGGCACAAAUUAGUACCACAUCAUGGCCAGAGUGAUAACAUCACAAGCCAAUUAUCAAGGGUACUAAUUACAAUGUCUUAAAUUCUCAACCAUUCCUAACAGGUGCCAAUUAAAGUCACUUAACUUUCUCAAACAGGUGAAUCUCACUGGAAUAAAAAUGAGAGGUAUCAAGAGAUCGGAGGGUUACUUUCUAUUUGUAAUCCAACAAUUGGACAACAAAAAAAGAAAAGACUCAAGAAUUGUCACUAACUAUAUGUCUCCAAACAGGCUCCUCUUGAGUUUUCUUUUCAUUUUUCAUUUUUCAUUUUUUCAUUUUUUUGUUACAAAAGAGAGGUUUGAACUCAAGAACUUUAGAGGGGAAGGAGAAGACUAAUACUAGUUGAGCUACAACUCAAUAGCUUGCGAUCUUUGAAUUUAAUAGGUAACUCUCCAAAACAAGUACUGCAACGCGUUGCUGAGCAGAAGUAAAAUCUUAAUCUAUUAUUGAUCUGAUGGUCUUCCCAAAAAUGGUACAAGAACUGAAUACUCCACAUAGCUUAUCAUAGAUUCAAACCCGCUCUAUCAUCUUACAAUUCUAAAAUAUCAUGCAUGCAAGAAAGAUUGAAUUCUUUCCAAAAUGAUCCAAGAACCCCAAGCUCCAAAAUUCCCAAUCCGAGAUUUGGAUCCUCACCAAUUAUCAAGUAGAUUUCUUCUUAAAAUUCCUCUACUUCUUCUAUCCAUCCAAAGUUAUGCAAUCGAAAACCUAUCAAUCAUUAAAGUGAACCAUAAUUAUAUAUACCUGCUUGAUAUAGGUAUUCAAUGAUAUGGCAACAAAUUAACUGAAAUCCAGUAAUUUAGGUAUGAAUGAAUGAUCGGUGGGAAUCACGAGAAAUAUUGAGGCAAAAAUGCGUGGGAAACCUUUCAACUACAGAUCAAGUUAAGAGAUCUCUUACAUUUCAAGAAUUGAGAUUUAGACCCCUCGAAUUGUCUAUUAAUUUACUAAAACCCCGUCCAUUUGAUUCAAUCAAUUCAGCAUCUAAGAGAUAACAAUAAAUGUAUCACCUACAAUCACAUGAUCUUCGAGAUAACAUGUUAGCUCGUGCAUGAACAACAGAACAGUUUUGAGACUACUUCAUAUCAACUCAUAAAUUCGGGAUUUCAGCACUCCUUAAUCUAUUUUUAUUUUUAUUUUAAUCAAAUUCACAAGAUACAAAUCCAACUCUACAUAUUGAAAUUCAAAUCCCGUAUCCAUGCCAAAUUACUGGAUGAGAUUAACAAUUAGAUUCCAAAUUACACUAACAAGUCAUGAACAACUUAUAAUACUCUUAAAUUACCGAUGAUGACAGCACUAAUAUAUAAAAACGAGAGACAAAUCGCUUACAAUAACAAAGUGAAGCAAAGUAACGGAUUCGCUGAUCAAUCAGACCAGCGUCAAUGGAAGCCAGGAAGGUGAAAAAUCCGGUUGGUAGUUAACUCUAAAAUCGCUCUGGGGCUGCCGCGGCAAUCGCGCGCACAACCACUGGUUUUGAUUUUGAAGCCGGGAACAUGAAAAUAAUUUGGUGCGGG
rnacentral:lncRNA from 1 species